rnacentral:misc_RNA from 1 species
UAUACUUGGCAAAAUUCAUUUUAUAUUUACAUCUACAGGAGGAUGGCAGGCACGGCAAUAAUAACAGCAGCAGUUGGUAAAUAUUCUUCCUAAAAGAAAAGUAAGUCAGUACCCUGGAAAGAAAUUGAGAAACAAGAGACAUUUUUUCCAAGGAAAAUCAAAUUUUAAAGUUUAACUGUCUUGUGUGAUCCAAUAAGCCUUUGGAAUCUGGGAGUUGAGUAAACAUUGAGGUGAUGAGGAGAGGCAUUAAUUAACUAAAUGUCCACAUAAAAUGGUUAACUGCUUGUACAGAGAGAGAUUCAACUUAACUGAGAUCUAUCAUUAAAUAAUGAGAUAAAAAGAAGAUGUAAUAAGCGGCUAUUGAUGUGCUGUACAUAUCUUUCUUCGGACUGAAGAUGGUAGCAAAGGCUUCCUGCUCAAACAAGAGGUUUCAAGCCACAAUAAAGACUCAGAACUCUGGAUUGGUGGAGUCAACCAACAGCAGGGGGUUGCAUCACAUGGAAUGAUCUCUCAACAGAAGGGACCCAGGAAAAAGAAUAAGAGAAUUGGCCUUCAACAAAUGAAGACAAUGUCAAACCAGCUGCAACAUUUGAAGAGAAUAAGAUGACUGGUUUCAGGGUUGCAAAAUCUUAUGAAGAAGCUAAUCUCAGAAUAGUUAUUAUUCACUCUGGUAUCUAAAAUGAGCAAUAUUGCCUAUCCCAUGCCCCAUCUCAGUAUAUAUUUUUUAUAAGGGGCCACUUUCUGGGUGACUUGAUGCUAAAAUAUGUUUCAGUUGGCUUUUAGACAUUUACAAUUUUAUCAACAGCCUUAAACUUAAGUACAACAUCAUCCCUACUAGGCAAUUCCCACAGGUGCAAUAACAAUGAGACUAGAAACCAAUGUUCCAUGAGACUACCAAUCUUUUGCUUCAUAUCUCUGUUAUUUGUAGCCGUCCCAUAAUAUAUGCAUCUUUUCAGCCAAUACAAUCAUAGAUCUUUAGACCCUCCUUCAGUCUCAAUUUUAGUUAUUCUCCAUUAAUACAUAAAUCAAAGAACUUGGCAACAAAGUAGCAUUUUUCCUAGUUCACAUACCUUCCUCUUCAAGAGAUGAGACCGCUAAUUGGUAAGCAGUGAAUAUGCACCAGCCAUGCACGACCAGAGUGGAGAACUCAAGCGGGAUCUUCCCAACAGUAUUAGGCAAAAUAUUUUAUUGAGUAAUUGUAGAACUAGGUUUAGAAAUGUUUCCAACCUGAAAGAGACAUUGAUAAAAUCAGUAACCAGAUACGUUACUCAAACUGAUACUGCCUCAUAGAUACCACAUAACUAUCAAAGUAAUAGCAAACUUCCGUUCAAGUUCCAUUUGUUUCUGAUGAAGCACCAAGACAUGGCCACAUAUUCCUCAACCAACUUCCUCCAAAGAUGACCAAAUAUUGCAUGGUGAGUUAGAAAUUGCACUUGAUCAUUUGCAGUAAGUUUCCCUCAAUUGAUUCCCAGAACCUCAAAAAAAUGCACAAGCAAAAUUUACCAUGAAGACAGCCAGUCAUGGCUGCAAAAACAAUUUACCAUUCUCAUGCUUGACAAUAAGCCAAAAAAAUUCUAUAUCCAACAUUCAAUAAAGGAACUGCUUAAACAAAUCUUGAUGUAUUCCUAUUGAAUCAAGGGAACUGCUAUAAGAAACAGCCUCAUAUAUCAACUCAAAUCUUAUGGUAGAGAGACUUGGAAACCAUUAAAGAGCUCAUUCAAUUAAUUUGAAAACUUGCUUUAAAUGGAAAAUUAUGUCAAGAAACAGCUCCAUCAUGCUCUAUAACUCUACAACAAAAGAUAUAUGAACAUAAGCAGAGUGACAAAUAUUUACUGCAGAUAAGCUGAGCCUGCUUAAACCACAUAAUGGAGCAGUCAUCUCAAAUUAGAACUUUAUGGGUUAACUUUUGUUUCAGUAGGUGAGUGGUUAUCUAGUUAUAGAUUGUCAUAUUGUACAUUUUUUUUGAGAGCAACAAAGUGGUCUCAAAAGCGAGAUGUGCUGAGAAGAUCAUGAAAUAUCAUCUUUAUAUCAAGAUGCAGUUCAGCUCUCUGCAUGAACUACGUCUAGAAACAUAAUCAAAAUAAAAAAUCAAAGAGCAAUAGUGUUUUCAUCUCAAAAUGGAUAAUGCAAAUUGUUAUGGAAAGUCAAUAUUUAUUUUUAGAUACAUUCCUAAUUAGUAGAUUCUUAAUUAGUAGAUUUUACGUAUUCCUAUUUAGGUAGGAUUUAUAUUCCUAUUUAAUGUAGGAUUUAAAUUCCUAAAUAGAUAGGAGUUUUA